GAUGAACGCUGGCGGCGUGCCUAAUACAUGCAAGUCGAGCGAACGGACGAGACGCUUGCUUGUUAGACGUUAGCGGCGGAGGGGUGAGUAACAGGUGGAUAACCUACUUAUCUGACUGGGAUCACUUCGGGAAUCCGGGGAUAAUUCGGUAUAAUCUUUUGAUACGCAUUGUUCAAAAGUGAUUGACGGUAUUGCUGUAUCUUAUAGCUGGAUCCGCGCUGUAUUAGCUAGUUGUUAAGGUAACGGCUUACGACGGCAACGAUGGAUAACAGACCUGCGAGGGGGAUAGGCCACCCUGGAGCGGGAAAAGGGACCAGGCCCCUACGGGAGGCAGCAGAAGGGAAUCUUCGGCAAUGGGGGAAAUCCUGGCGGAGCAACGCGGCGUGAGUAAUAAAGGUCUUCGGAUCGAAAAACCCUGUUAUUAGGGAAGAACAUAUGUGGAAGGAAAUGUGCACAUCGUGACGGUACCUAAUCAGAAAGCCACGGCUAACUACGUG
rnacentral:rRNA from 1 species